CCUACGGGAGGCAGCAGUGGGGAAUAUUGGACAAUGGGGGAAACCCUGAUCCAGCGACGCCGCGUGAGUGAAGAAGUAUUUCGGUACGUAAAGCUCUAUCAGCAGGAAAGAAAAUGACGGUACCUGACUAAGAAGCCCCGGCUAACUACGUGCCAGCAGCCGCGGUAAUACGUAGGGGGCAAGCGUUAUCCGGAUUUACUGGGUGUAAAGGGAGCGUAGACGGCUGUGCAAGUCUGGAGUGAAAGGCGGGGGCGCAACCCCCGGACUGCUCUGGAAACUGUACAGCUGGAGUGCAGGAGAGGGAAGCGGAAUUCCUAGUGUAGCGGUGAAAUGCGUAGAUAUUAGGAGGAACACCAGUGGCGAAGGCGACUUACUGGACUGCAACUGACGUUGAGGCUCGAAAGCGUGGGGAGCAAACAGGAUUAGAUACCCUUGUAGUC
rnacentral:rRNA from 1 species